rnacentral:rRNA from 1 species
GACGAACGCUGGCGGCGUGCUUAACACAUGCAAGUCGAACGGAAAGGCCCUGCUUUUGUGGGGUGCUCGAGUGGCGAACGGGUGAGUAACACGUGAGUAACCUGCCCUUGACUUUGGGAUAACUUCAGGAAACUGGGGCUAAUACCGGAUAGGAGCUCCUGCUGCAUGGUGGGGGUUGGAAAGUUUCGGCGGUUGGGGAUGGACUCGCGGCUUAUCAGCUUGUUGGUGGGGUAGUGGCUUACCAAGGCUUUGACGGGUAGCCGGCCUGAGAGGGUGACCGGCCACAUUGGGACUGAGAUACGGCCCAGACUCCUACGGGAGGCAGCAGUGGGGAAUAUUGCACAAUGGGCGGAAGCCUGAUGCAGCAACGCCGCGUGCGGGAUGACGGCCUUCGGGUUGUAAACCGCUUUCGCCUGUGACGAAGCGUGAGCGACGGUAAUGGGUAAAGAAGCACCGGCUAACUACGU